rnacentral:rRNA from 1 species
UACGUAGGGUGCAAGCGUUGUCCGGAAUUAUUGGGCGUAAAGAGCUCGUAGGCGGUUUGUUGCGUCGGCUGUGAAAUCCCGAGGCUCAACCUCGGGUCUGCAGUCGAUACGAGCAAACUAGAGUGUUGCAGGGGAGACUGGAAUUCCUGGUGUAGCGGUGAAAUGCGCAGAUAUCAGGAGGAACACCGGUGGCGAAGGCGGGUCUCUGGGCAACAACUGACGCUGAGGAGCGAAAGCGUGGGGAACGAACAGG